UCCCGCCGUCUCCCCACUGUAAAGGAGCGGCUUACUCCAGAGGUCCAGCCCCCUCACACACAAUCACGGAACCCGUGGAUGAGGCAGUAUUUGAGACCAGAAGUUUAUUGGGGACUUGGGUUUGGUUUUUGUUUGGUUGGUUUUGUCGUUGUUUUUAGAGUCGGGGGUUUCGCUGUGUUGCCCAGGCUGCUAUCGGACUCCUGACCUCAAGCGAUCCUCUCGCCUGGGCCUCCCAAAGUGUUGGGAUUACAGGCGUGAGCCACCGCACCUGGCCGGGGACUUGUUUCUAAUGGAAAAUUGUGUAUGUGCUGUAUUAUUAAGAGCAUUGGUUUGGGGUCAGACUAUCUAGGCUGUGAUUCGGGUCUCUCCACUUCUUAUUAUCAUCUUUGGUAAAUUAUUUAACCUCUUUGUGCCUUCGUUUUCUGUAAAAAGCAGAUAAUUAUAGCUACUUCAUGAGGUCGUGUGAAGAUUUAAUGAGAUAGUGUGUGUGAAAUGUACACAGCUACCAGACACAUACUCACUCGUGUUCCCAAUUGAUAUACUCACAAGGGCUCACUCCCAUCGCCAUCAUUCGUAAUUUCAAAGGGUCUACGGUUAAAAAUAUUCCAAAUUGUUGGGAAACUCUCAGACCCCAGAACUUAGCUGGCUGCAUGAUCGGCCAGCCCUCAGAGACAGCAUGAUUGGAGGCAGGAGCAGGAAUUGACAACCUGAGCAGUAGAUACCACCCGGGCACCCUCAUUCACCAGAGACAGGGUUUCCCCAUGUUGCCCAGUCUGGUAUCGAUCACCUGAGCUCAAGCGAUCCACCCAUCUUGGCCUCCCAAAAUGCUAGGAUUAUAGGUGUCAGCCACUGCACCCGGCCUUGAUCCAGGAGCCAGUGGCAUCGGAAAUUUUUUUAAAAGCCAGAGAAGAUCUAUGUUGACCUGAUGAUCUUUCACCUUCUAGAUCUCCCUGAACCACUGGCCAAAUAUCUCAAUAAAGAAUGUGCUUAACCUGCCUCUUAAGACCUAUGUAUUUGCACAAGAAGGAAAAAAACAAAAAACAAAAAAGAAAACAGAAAAAAAAGCAAAACUAGAGCUGCCUGCCUGUGCUGAAGCUUUUUCAGUAAUUUCAGAGCCACUGAAGUGAUGUGAGAUCAGUUGACAAGAGAAAAACACUCUGAGAUCUGCCAGAAUGACCCUCAAGGGGAGAAAAAUAAUUAAACAGGUGGAAAAACAAGGAACACGCAAGACUGAUCAAAGCGUUCUUUUCUGUUGAACAGCUUUUGCUGACUUCUGGUACCAUCAGUUUUCUUGAGUACAAUAAAGACCAAGAAAUGCAGAAUGUUAGUUACGGGCCUUACUCAAUCAGGCUCAAAGGCUUUAUUGGGGUUAUAGGAAGCCAAGUACCCAGUCCACCAAUGUCCUGGGAGAAAAGCCUGAAGGCAGAGCAUGGUAGGUUUUCUCUUGCAGCCUGCAGGCUGAUCUGAUGGGACUUCAAUUCUGUCACUUCCUUGCUCUGUGACGUUGAACAUUCUGUAAGCCUCUGGGCCUCAGCUUUCUCAUCCAUGGAAGUGGGAUUACAGUGUCUAACCUGCAGGGCUGCUGCGUGUUUAUAUAUGUGCAUAGAACAUAAUGGGCUUCCCUUGAUAGAAGCAGAGAUUGGACAUGUGGCCUCUGACAAGUUACUUUUUUUUUUUUUUACAAGUUUUUUUACAAGUUUCCCUCUCCUCUCCCCCAUUCAGAAAGUGGAAGGGGUAAUUCUUCAGGGAAUUUGUGAGAUG